rnacentral:rRNA from 1 species
CCUACGGGCGGCAGCAGUGAGGAAUAUUGGUCAAUGGCCGGAAGGCUGAACCAGCCAUGCCGCGUGAAGGUCAGUGCCCUAUGGGCGUUAAACUUCUUUUGUGCGGGAGCAAUAAUGGUCACGUGUGGCCAGACGAGAGUACCGUACGAAUAAGCAUCGGCUAACUCCGUGCCAGCAGCCGCGGUAAUACGGGGGAUGCAAGCGUUAUCCGGAUUUAUUGGGUUUAAAGGGUGCGUAGGCUGUGAGGUAAGUCAGCGGUGAAAUGCCCCCGCUCAACGGGGUGAAGUGCCAUUGAUACUGCCGUGCUGGAAUGCGGAUGCCGUGGGAGGAAUGUGUGGUGUAGCGUUGAAAUGCAUAGAUAUCACACAGAACACCGAUUGCGAAGGCAUCUCACGAAUCCGCGAUUGACGCGGAUGCACGAAAGCGGGGGUAUCAAACAGGAUUAGAUACCUAGUAGUC